ensembl:lncRNA
CAAAACGUGAUCUUUCCACUUUCUGGUCUGUCUACUGCUUCCAUACCUUCCUCGUCAUUUAUGGAAUCUUCUAGAGCCAGCCGCUGAAUUCUUACUGAAUUCUUUCUUCCAUAAGUGGACUUUGGUCACAGUGUUCACACCACAGCAACAAAAUUGUAACUAAUACAGAGGUCAGCGUGAGAACGUGUACUGCUGCUGUGAAGACGUUGGCCACGACGUUGGUUCCCAGAUCCAAGAGACUUCUGUAACUGACACCUGAGCUGGAGAGAGCUAAAAUAGAGGCAAAGAACAGACAACAUCUUCUGAGACUUUCUUUAAAGGGUUUUAAGUCACAUAACACAAGAGUCAGCAGCAGUCUUUGACCUAAAGGACAUUAUCUCUUCUUCAUCAUAUUGAGCACGUUCACUUUGACUGUUACAGGUAAGUGUGUUGUUGUUGUUGUUGCUACUGUUUUGGUUUUGAUUUCUGAGUUUUCUUGGUUUUUCUUCUUAUUUUUGAGACUGGGAG